CCAUAUGGUCGACCUGCAGGCGGCCGCGAAUUCACUAGUGAUUAGAGUUUGAUCAUGGCUCAGAUUGAACGCUGGCGGCAUGCCUUACACAUGCAAGUCGAACGGCAGCACGGGAGCAAUCCUGGUGGCGAGUGGCGAACGGGUGAGUAAUACAUCGGAACGUGCCCAAUCGUGGGGGAUAACGCAGCGAAAGCUGUGCUAAUACCGCAUACGAUCUACGGAUGAAAGCAGGGGACCGUAAGGCCUUGCGCGAAUGGAGCGGCCGAUGGCAGAUUAGGUAGUUGGUGAGGUAAAGGCUCACCAAGCCUUCGAUCUGUAGCUGGUCUGAGAGGACGACCAGCCACACUGGGACUGAGACACGGCCCAGACUCCUACGGGAGGCAGCAGUGGGGAAUUUUGGACAAUGGGCGAAAGCCUGAUCCAGCAAUGCCGCGUGCAGGAUGAAGGCCUUCGGGUUGUAAACUGCUUUUGUACGGAACGAAACGGCUCUUUCUAAUAACGAGAGCUAAUGACGGUACCGUAAGAAUAAGCACCGGCUAACUACGUGCCAGCAGCCGCGGUAAUACGAAUCGAAUUCCCGCGGCCGCCAUGG
rnacentral:rRNA from 1 species